rnacentral:rRNA from 1 species
UACGGAGGGAGCUAGCGUUGUUCGGAAUUACUGGGCGUAAAGCGCACGUAGGCGGCUUUGUAAGUUAGAGGUGAAAGCCCGGGGCUCAACCCCGGAAUUGCCUUUAAGACUGCAUCGCUUGAAUCCGGGAGAGGUGAGUGGAAUUCCGAGUGUAGAGGUGAAAUUCGUAGAUAUUCGGAAGAACACCGGUGGCGAAGGCGGUCUGCUGGGCAGUUGCUGACACUGAGGCGCGACAGCGUGGGGAGCAAACAGG